rnacentral:rRNA from 1 species
AUAACGACUCUCGGCAACGGAUAUCUCGGCUCUCGCAUCAAURAAGAAYGUAUCGAAAUGCGAUACUUGGUGUGAAUUGCAGAAUCCCGUGAACCAUCGAGUCUUUGAACGCAAGUUGCGCCCCAAGCCUUUAGGCCGAGGGCACGUCUGCCUGGGUGUCACG